GGGUUGUGAGGUUAAGCGACUAAGCGUACACGGUGGAUGCCCUGGCAGUCAGAGGCGAUGAAGGACGUGCUAAUCUGCGAAAAGCGUCGGUAAGGUGAUAUGAACCGUUACAGCCGGCGAUGUCCGAAUGGGGAAACCCAGUGUGAUUCGUCACACUAUCGUUAACUGAAUACAUAGGUUAACGAGGCGAACCGGGGGAACUGAAACAUCUAAGUACCCCGAGGAAAAGAAAUCAACCGAGAUUCCCCCAGUAGCGGCGAGCGAACGGGGAGUAGCCCAGAGUCUGAAUCAGCUUGUGUGUUAGUGGAACGGUCUGGAAAGUCCGACGGUACAGGGUGAUAGUCCCGUACACCAAAAUGCACAGGUUGUGAACUCGAAGAGUAGGGCGGGACACGUGGUAUCCUGUCUGAAUAUGGGGGGACCAUCCUCCAAGGCUAAAUACUCCUGACUGACCGAUAGUGAACCAGUACCGUGAGGGAAAGGCGAAAAGAACCCCGGCGAGGGGAGUGAAAAAGAACCUGAAACCGUGUACGUACAAGCAGUGGGAGCACCUUCGGGUGUGACUGCGUACCUUUUGUAUAAUGGGUCAGCGACUUAUAUUCUGUAGCAAGGUUAACCGUAUAGGGGAGCCGCAGGGAAACCGAGUCUUAACUGGGCGUUAAGUUGCAGGGUAUAGACCCGAAACCCGGUGAUCUAGCCAUGGGCAGGUUGAAGGUUGGGUAACACUAACUGGAGGACCGAACCGACUAAUGUUGAAAAAUUAGCGGAUGACUUGUGGCUGGGGGUGAAAGGCCAAUCAAACCGGGAGAUAGCUGGUUCUCCCCGAAAGCUAUUUAGGUAGCGCCUCGUGAACUCAUCUUCGGGGGUAGAGCACUGUUUCGGCUAGGGGGUCAUCCCGACUUACCAACCCGAUGCAAACUACGAAUACCGAAGAAUGUUAUCACGGGAGACACACGGCGGGUGCUAACGUCCGUCGUGAAGAGGGAAACAACCCAGACCGCCAGCUAAGGUCCCAAAGUCAUGGUUAAGUGGGAAACGAUGUGGGAAGGCACAGACAGCCAGGAUGUUGGCUUAGAAGCAGCCAUCAUUUAAAGAAAGCGUAAUAGCUCACUGGUCGAGUCGGCCUGCGCGGAAGAUGUAACGGGGCUAAACCAUGCACCGAAGCUGCGGCAGCGACACUAUGUGUUGUUGGGUAGGGGAGCGUUCUGUAAGCCUGCGAAGGUGUGCUGUGAGGCAUGCUGGAGGUAUCAGAAGUGCGAAUGCUGACAUAAGUAACGAUAAAGCGGGUGAAAAGCCCGCUCGCCGGAAGACCAAGGGUUCCUGUCCAACGUUAAUCGGGGCAGGGUGAGUCGACCCCUAAGGCGAGGCCGAAAGGCGUAGUCGAUGGGAAACAGGUUAAUAUUCCUGUACUUGGUGUUACUGCGAAGGGGGGACGGAGAAGGCUAUGUUAGCCGGGCGACGGUUGUCCCGGUUUAAGCAUGUAGGCUGAUUGUCCAGGCAAAUCCGGAUAAUCAAGGCUGAGGUGUGAUGACGAGGCACUACGGUGCUGAAGUAACAAAUGCCCUGCUUCCAGGAAAAGCCUCUAAGCAUCAGGUAACAUCAAAUCGUACCCCAAACCGACACAGGUGGUCAGGUAGAGAAUACCAAGGCGCUUGAGAGAACUCGGGUGAAGGAACUAGGCAAAAUGGUGCCGUAACUUCGGGAGAAGGCACGCUGGUGUGUAGGUGAAGCCCCUGCGGGUGGAGCUGAGACCAGUCGAAGAUACCAGCUGGCUGCAACUGUUUAUUAAAAACACAGCACUGUGCAAACACGAAAGUGGACGUAUACGGUGUGACGCCUGCCCGGUGCCGGAAGGUUAAUUGAUGGGGUUAUCCGUAAGGAGAAGCUCUUGAUCGAAGCCCCGGUAAACGGCGGCCGUAACUAUAACGGUCCUAAGGUAGCGAAAUUCCUUGUCGGGUAAGUUCCGACCUGCACGAAUGGCGUAAUGAUGGCCAGGCUGUCUCCACCCGAGACUCAGUGAAAUUGAACUCGCUGUGAAGAUGCAGUGUACCCGCGGCAAGACGGAAAGACCCCGUGAACCUUUACUAUAGCUUGACACUGAACAUUGAGCCUUGAUGUGUAGGAUAGGUGGGAGGCUUUGAAGCGUGGACGCCAGUCUGCGUGGAGCCAACCUUGAAAUACCACCCUUUAAUGUUUGAUGUUCUAACGUUGGCCCCUGACCGGGGUUGCGGACAGUGUCUGGUGGGUAGUUUGACUGGGGCGGUCUCCUCCCAAAGCGUAACGGAGGAGCACGAAGGUUAGCUAAUCCUGGUCGGACAUCAGGAGGUUAGUGCAAUGGCAUAAGCUAGCUUGACUGCGAGCGUGACGGCGCGAGCAGGUGCGAAAGCAGGUCAUAGUGAUCCGGUGGUUCUGAAUGGAAGGGCCAUCGCUCAACGGAUAAAAGGUACUCCGGGGAUAACAGGCUGAUACCGCCCAAGAGUUCAUAUCGACGGCGGUGUUUGGCACCUCGAUGUCGGCUCAUCACAUCCUGGGGCUGAAGUAGGUCCCAAGGGUAUGGCUGUUCGCCAUUUAAAGUGGUACGCGAGCUGGGUUUAGAACGUCGUGAGACAGUUCGGUCCCUAUCUGCCGUGGGCGCUGGAGAAUUGAGGGGGGCUGCUCCUAGUACGAGAGGACCGGAGUGGACGCAUCACUGGUGUUCGGGUUGUCAUGCCAAUGGCACUGCCCGGUAGCUAAAUGCGGAAGAGAUAAGUGCUGAAAGCAUCUAAGCACGAAACUUGCCCCGAGAUGAGUUCUCCCUGAGACUUUAAGUCUCCUGAAGGAACGUUGAAGACGACGACGUUGAUAGGCCGGGUGUGUAAGCGCAGCGAUGCGUUGAGCUAACCGGUACUAAUGAACCGUGAGGCUUAACCUUACAACGCCGAAG
rnacentral:rRNA from 1 species